rnacentral:pre_miRNA from 1 species
AUUUGCUGCACGCAAUUUGCGUACAAUAUAGCAUAAAGUUACAGUUAGUAUUUAUGCUAUAUUGUACGCAAAUUGCGUGCAGUUACA